UGCUUGCAUCAUGAUUUACAUUUGAGUGAGUGGCGAACUGGUGAGUAACACGUGGGAAACCUGCCCAGAAGCGGGGGAUAACACCUGGAAACAGAUGCUAAUACCGCAUAACAACUUGGACCGCAUGGUCCGAGUUUGAAAGAUGGCUUCGGCUAUCACUUUUGGAUGGUCCCGCGGCGUAUUAGCUAGAUGGUGGGGUAACGGCUCACCAUGGCAAUGAUACGUAGCCGACCUGAGAGGGUAAUCGGCCACAUUGGGACUGAGACACGGCCCAAACUCCUACGGGAGGCAGCAGUAGGGAAUCUUCCACAAUGGACGAAAGUCUGAUGGAGCAACGCCGCGUGAGUGAAGAAGGGUUUCGGCUCGUAAAACUCUGUUGUUAAAGAAGAACAUAUCUGAGAGUAACUGUUCAGGUAUUGACGGUAUUUAACCAGAAAGCCACGGCUAACUACGUGCCAGCAGCCGCGGUAAUACGUAGGUGGCAAGCGUUGUCCGGAUUUAUUGGGCGUAAAGCGAGCGCAGGCGGUUUUUUAAGUCUGAUGUGAAAGCCUUCGGCUCAACCGAAGAAGUGCAUCGGAAACUGGGAAACUUGAGUGCAGAAGAGGACAGUGGAACUCCAUGUGUAGCGGUGAAAUGCGUAGAUAUAUGGAAGAACACCAGUGGCGAAGGCGGCUGUCUGGUCUGUAACUGACGCUGAGGCUCGAAAGUAUGGGUAGCAAACAGGAUUAGAUACCCUGGUAGUCCAUACCGUAAACGAUGAAUGCUAAGUGUUGGAGGGUUUCCGCCCUUCAGUGCUGCAGCUAACGCAUUAAGCAUUCCGCCUGGGGAGUACGGCCGCAAGGCUGAAACUCAAAGGAAUUGACGGGGGCCCGCACAAGCGGUGGAGCAUGUGGUUUAAUUCGAAGCUACGCGAAGAACCUUACCAGGUCUUGACAUACUAUGCAAAUCUAAGAGAUUAGACGUUCCCUUCGGGGACAUGGAUACAGGUGGUGCAUGGUUGUCGUCAGCUCGUGUCGUGAGAUGUUGGGUUAAGUCCCGCAACGAGCGCAACCCUUAUUAUCAGUUGCCAGCAUUAAGUUGGGCACUCUGGUGAGACUGCCGGUGACAAACCGGAGGAAGGUGGGGAUGACGUCAAAUCAUCAUGCCCCUUAUGACCUGGGCUACACACGUGCUACAAUGGAUGGUACAACGAGUUGCGAACUCGCGAGAGUAAGCUAAUCUCUUAAAGCCAUUCUCAGUUCGGAUUGUAGGCUGCAACUCGCCUACAUGAAGUCGGAAUCGCUAGUAAUCGCGGAUCAGCAUGCCGCGGUGAAUACGUUCCCGGGCCUUGUACACACCGCCCGUCACACC
rnacentral:rRNA from 2 species